rnacentral:rRNA from 1 species
AUUGAACGCUGGCGGCAGGCCUAACACAUGCAAGUCGAGCGGUAGCACAGGGAGCUUGCUCCUGGGUGACGAGCGGCGGACGGGUGAGUAAUGUCUGGGAAACUGCCCGAUGGAGGGGGAUAACUACUGGAAACGGUAGCUAAUACCGCAUAACGUCGCAAGACCAAAGAGGGGGACCUUCGGGCCUCUUGCCAUCAGAAGUGCCCAGAUGGGAUUAGCUAGCAGGUGGGGUAACGGCUCACCUAGGCGACGAUCCCUAGCUGGUCUGAGAGGAUGACCAGCCACACUGGAACUGAGACACGGUCCAGACUCCUACGGGAGGCAGCAGUGGGGAAUAUUGCACAAUGGGCGCAAGCCUGAUGCAGCCAUGCCGCGUGUAUGAAGAAGGCCUUCGGGUUGUAAAGUACUUUCAGCGGGGAGGAAGGUGUUGAGGUUAAUAACCUCAGCAAUUGACGUUACCCGCAGAAGAAGCACCGGCUAACUCCGUGCCAGCCGCCGCGGUAA